UGAAAUCCAAUAAUGCUUAGAGCUUAAGGAAACUGCUUGUUGUCAUCGACAUUGAAAGCUUUGUCCGCGUUCCAUUUGGCUUUAUAUGCAUAGCGGAGCAGGUAAGUGAUAAUUCAUAAGGUUUUGUUGCAAGAAUUUUAAAGGGUAUACGGAUAUUGAAGAUCUGAAUCAAGUCUAUAAUGGAUUCUUUCUUCAGCAAAGGUUUCAAAGCUGCCAAAUGUAAAACCAUGUUGAAAUUGACAAUUCCUCGGAUCAAACUACUGAGGAAUCGUAGGGAGUUUCAGCUGAAGCAGAUGAGGAAAGAAAUAGCUAAGCUUCUAGAGACUGGUCAGGAAGCUACUGCCCGAAUUCGGGUAGAGCAUAUUAUAAGAGAAGAGAAAAUGAUGGCAGCGCAGGAGAUUGUUGAGCUAUUCUGUGAGCUUAUAUCGGUUCGUCUUCCAAUUAUUGAAGCACAAAGGGAAUGCCCUCUAGAUCUGAAAGAAGCUAUUUCAAGUGUUUGUUUUGCUGCACCAAGAUGUGCAGAUCUUCCGGAACUGCUGCAGGUUCAGCUGAUGUUUGCUGGUAAAUAUGGGAAGGAAUUCAUUACUGCUGCUACAGAGCUCAUGCCAGAAUGCGGAGUCAAUCGCCAGUUGAUAGAGUUGCUGUCUAUUCGAGCUCCUGCUCCUGAUGUGAAAAUGAAGCUGCUAAAGGAAAUUGCGGAGGAGCAUCAGCUAGAUUGGGAUCCAAGUGCUUCUGAAACUGAGCUGUUGAAGUCACAUGAGGACUUGCUGAAUGGGCCCACACAAUUUGUCAGUGGAGCUAAGGUGCCACUUCCCAAAGAAAGGUUUGAUGAGGUGCAGCACUCUGCAUCAGAUCAAGUCUUCGAUAAACAAACGGAAUCUGAGGCUGAUUUUGACUUAGAUUUUCCAGAAGUCCCUAAGCAGCCACUACGACCUAGCACUGGUGGAGUUUCAGCCCCUGAAAUGCUGCCUUUCCCAGCAUCUGCACUAUCUGACUCCGAUGAGGAGGUAGGCAAGCCUUCUGAAGACGGUGAGCUCAAAUCUCACAAACAAGAUGUGGAGCGAGAUGAACUUUUGCAAGAGAAGGUAGUUUCAAAAGAUUUUGGAUCAGCUGAUAGUUUAUCUGCACCGGAAGAAGAGAAACAGUUUUUGCCAUUCAUGGUUCCCCCGCCAAAAUCAUCUCCACUCCCCUCUACAGAAAGUACCACAAUCCAAAGUACUCAGCCUCCCUCUGCUACAAAGACCAAAGUUGAGACUGAUGUGGAUUUGCAAGAUGUAUUGGCUGCUGCCCAAGCAGCUGCUGAUUCAGCCGAACGUGCAGCAGCUGCUGCUCGCUCAGCAGCUAGCCUUGCUCAGGUUAGAAUCAGUGAGCUUACCAGGAAAAGGAGUGAAGAGGUGCCUGUAAGUCCCAGUGAAAACCCCUUUUAUUCUGAGAAACAAGAAUCUCACAUCCUAGAAAAGCCUAACUUAGACCUCCAACACCAAUCAUCAAACUCCGAUGGUAUCCCCAGCCCACUUCAUGGCAGUCCAUUGGAACAUCAGGUGUCGAAUAUUCCUUCAUAUGAUGAUUCAACAGUAGGUGUUGAGUCUCCCAUCUCCCAUAUUCAUCAUCCUGGUCAGGGUCUUCACCAACCACAGAGAUUGCCUUCCAUGGACGAUGAGACAUAUUAUUCUUA
rnacentral:misc_RNA from 1 species